rnacentral:rRNA from 1 species
GGAAAGGACAUCAACCGAGACUCCUUAGUAGUGGCGAGCGAACGCGGAUGGGGCUAAACCGUAUGUGUGUGAUACCCGGCAGGGGUUGCAUGUGCGGUGUUGUGGGCCCCUCCUUGUCAUGUCUGCCGGCAUGGCGCAGUGAGGUGCGGGCAUAUAGACGAACCAGUGUGGAUGCUGGACCGUAGAGGGUGAGAGUCCCGUAGUCGAAAUGUGUUCCGCCGCUGUUGGAGGGUUGCCCGAGUAGCACGGGGCCCGAGGAAUCCCGUGUGAAUCUGCCAGGACCACCUGGUAAGCCUGA